rnacentral:tRNA from 2 species
GGAAGGGUGUCCGAGUGGUCGAUGGUGCAACCUUGGAAAGGUUGUGUAGGCGCAAGUCUACCGGGGGUUCGAAUCCCCCCCCUUCCGCCA